rnacentral:rRNA from 1 species
GACUGCGAGUCGAGCGUCUCUAGCUAUGUUGAGACGCGGCAUACGGCUCAGUAACACGUGGCUAACCUACCCUCAGGACGGGGACAAACCCGGGAAACUGGGGCUAAUAUCCGAUAGGCGAGGAAUCCUGGAAUGGUUCUUCACCCAAAGGACAUUGGAAACAUGCUUUCUCUGUCGCCUGGGGAUGGGGCCGCGUCCGAUCAGGUUGUUGGUGAGGUAAUGGCUCACCAAGCCUUUAACCGGUACGGGCCGUGAGAGCGGUAGCCCGGAGAUGGGUACUGAGACAAGGACCCAGGCCCUACGGGGCGCAGCAGUCGCGAAAACUCCGCAAUGCACGAAAGUGUGACGGGGCUACCCCGAGUGCCGUCCGCUGAGGAUGGCUUUUCCUUGGUGUAACUAGCCGGGGGAAUAAGGAGAGGGCAAGACUGGUGUCAGCCGCCGCGGUAAUACCAGCUCUCCGAGUGGUAGGGAUGAUUAUUGGGCUUAAAGCGUCCGUAGCCGGCUUAGCAAGUUUCCUGUUAAAUUCAGCGACCUAAUCGUUGAGCCGCGGGAAAUACUACUAGGCUAGGAGGCGGGAGAGGUCGACGGUACUUCUGGGGUAGGGGUGAAAUCCUAUAAUCCCGGGAGGACCACCAGUGGCGAAGGCUGUCGACUAGAACGCGCUCGACGGUGAGGGACGAAAGCUGGGGGAGCGAACCGGAUUAGAUACCCGGGUAGUCCCAGCUGUAAACGAUGCGGGCUAGGUGUUGGGGUGGCUACGUGCCACUUCAGUGCCGCAGGAAGCCAUUAAGCCCGCCGCCUGGGGAGUACGGCCGCAAGGCUGAAACUUAA